AAAAAAUUUGGCGGAAAAUUGUUUUUUCGGGAAAACAAUUUGGCGAAAUUUUUUUUUUGGCGGGAAAAAUAAAUUUUGGCGCCAAAAAUUUUGCGGAAAAAUUUCAGUUUCCAAUUACAUGUUCCUAUUAGAUGAGGGUAAUUUGGUCAUUCUGUUAAAGUGAAGGGGUAUUUUUAAAAAUGGACAACAUAAAAAGGUAUUGUUACAAAAAGGUAGUAAAAAAUGUAGUUUUACAAAUCUCCCUUUUUCUAAAACACAAUUUUAUGGUCUUUAGAAGGUCUGUACCUUUUUUUUUC
rnacentral:sRNA from 1 species